UGCAGGCUGUCUGCGCAGCGUGACGUGGUGAAGCUGGUUAGCAGUUUGCGGCCUACAGCGUUGUGUAAAUGUAGACGAAGAUGAUGACGACCAGGUUGAGAAUAGUUCCUAUGAUGCCCAGCAUGGCCAAGAUGCUCUCCUCCUUACUUUCCUUGUCUUGAAUUCCCUUUUCCUCAUCACUGUAGACAGCGUUUACCAUUUUCCCCGCAAAAGUCUUCAGUUUUUGACUCGGACCGAUCUGGAGCAGAAGCAUAAAAAAAAUUAAACACAAAUCAUGUUUAGAAGAUGAACGCUGACUGGUUUUAAAGAAGAGAAGGAGGAGGAGAAAGAGGAGGCGGCGGUGGCUGGUGAAGGAACCAGUCGGCUCACGCUGACGCCGUCCUGGUUGCUUUCCGUCCACAGGCCAGAGGUUUGAAUGGGAGCGCUGCAGGAUAACAGGAGGAUCUGAGUGAACCGGAGGGAACGGGCAGAGGGAGGCGACUACUGGGACACGGAAAAGAGUCAGCAACAGAUGCUGAGCACAAGAAAAAGGAUUUAAAGAAAUUCUCCUUCAGAGAAUCGACAGAGAGGAAGAAGUGAGUUGAAGAAUCGAUGCUGUGAUUCGUCUGUCUGGAAACCGGGUCAGAUUAUCCAACAUUCAGGAAAAUAAAACCCAGAUGAUGAUGCAGGUGCAGCUCUGAGUCUGACCUCAUGUUGGCCUCAGUUUGUGAAGGAAAUCCCUGCAGGAGGUUUUCCUCGCUGCUGCGCUGCCUGUUUGCAGCUUCUGCUGAAAACACUAAAUUAUAAUCCGUUCAUCUGGUUAUUAAUACAUAAACUAAGGAAAUGAUUUAGUAAAACUCUUUCUUCUGAAAACAUGGAACAAUUAUCAAGUAAAAUAACCCAAUAGAUAAAAGAUUGUUUUAUGUUUACAGAUUCUAACGUGGUAGCAAACCUCUUUACUCUCAUACCUCUAAAUAAAAUCCAGUCCAACAAAAUGCUGAAUCAGUAACUGCAGUUCUGCUCUGUAUAAUGUGAAACGCUCUCCAUAGAUCUCAUCCUUAUGGAAAAAUGGAAACAAAACUAUUGAAGCAAUAGUUAAAAUAACAAUAAAUCCUGCUUAACGUUUGAGACACGACAUGUAGAAGAAGGUGAUCCGCAAAAACUGAACGAUUUAGCCAACAUGUUAAAUAGUUAGCUUGAUGCUAAUGCUAAUUAAUUAGCUCCAAACAUAGCAUUUAGCUCUGAACUAGCUAAAAAUGUUGUUUGUUAGCUAGGAGCUAAAUACAUA